rnacentral:rRNA from 1 species
GACGAACGCUGGCGGCGUGCUUAACACAUGCAAGUCGAACGGAAAGGCCCCUUUGGGGGUACUCGAGUGGCGAACGGGUGAGUAACACGUGAGUAACCUGCCCUUGACUUCGGGAUAACUUCAGGAAACUGGGGCUAAUACCGGAUAGGAAUCCUUGCUGCAUGGUGGGGGUUGGAAAGCUUCGGCGGUUUUGGAUGGACUCGCGGCUUAUCAGCUUGUUGGUGGGGUAGUGGCUUACCAAGGCUUUGACGGGUAGCCGGCCUGAGAGGGCGACCGGCCACAGUGGGACUGAGAGACGGCCCAGACUCCGACGGGAGGCAGCAGUGGGGAAUAUUGCACAAUGGGCGGAAGCCUGAUGCAGCAACGCCGCGGGCGGGAGGACGGCCUUCGGGUUGUAAACCGCUUUCAGCAGGGGCGAAGCUUGUGGUGACGGUACCUGCAGAAGAAGCACCGGCUAACUACGUG